UCAAAUGAGUUAGUUGAAUGAACUGACUCCCUAAAGUGAGUUGGAGUCAUUGAGUCAAUUCUUAUAAAUUUGCUGACCAAACAAAAUUUUCAUAUC